UACUCUGUGUCUCGGAUUUCAAGGAGAUUGUGUACUGCUUCCACCGAUCGAUCGAUAUUAAGAGAGAGAGGUAUGCUCGGUUCAAUCUCCUUAAUUAGUUAAUUUACCCAAUAUCAUGAGUUUCCUCUUCAUUCUCUUCUCAACAAAUAUCAAAGCUCUCUCCUCUUUUCCAUGGCAAGUAUAAUUGAAGAAGAUGUUGCCGAAAAAAAUGAACACACUCGAAAACCUUUCCACUUCGAAAGAGAAUACGCAUAACACUAGUAAAUUUUUGUGAUUUACGCAUUAAAUCCCUUUCUUAAAUUCCCAGUCCAGUAGUUACAUGAUCGGCUUUUGAUUUCACUUAGAUGUUGAGAUUCUAAAGGCUGCUCUCUCUUUCUGACGAUUAAUUUCUUUGGAUAUGCAUCUUUAUUUCCUUUCUCUGAUCUCCUUGGUUUCUUUGAGUGUAGAAUUGCAGAUGGAGUGAGAACUGCGAACUGAUUUGAGAACCAAGUUAACACCAAAACAAAAAACCCUCCAUUAGCAAAUAUGCUUGGGGAAGAGUUAUGGUUUACUAUUGGUGGGCAGCAUAUCCCAUUUGGUGCUUCACCACAAGUUGAUUGUGAAAUUAAGAGCAAUAAUUCAAGAAACAUCCAAGUAGAAGCUGAGAGUAAAGCAAUAGUGCAUCAAUGAAUCAGAUACU